GCCUUCGUGGUGCAGUGGUCAGCAUGCUCGGCUCGUAUUCCAGAGGUCCGUGGUUCGAAUCCCGGCGAGGCA
rfam:Stegodyphus mimosarum contig3933, whole genome shotgun sequence.